rnacentral:rRNA from 1 species
ACUUUCAACAACGGAUCUCUUGGUUCUCGCAUCGAUGAAGAACGCAGCGAAAUGCGAUAAGUAAUGUGAAUUGCAGAUUUUCGUGAAUCAUUGAAUCUUUGAACGCACAUUGCGCCCUCUGGUAUUCCGGAGGGCAUGCCUGUUUGAGCGUCAUUU